rnacentral:rRNA from 1 species
CGGCAACAGCUCAAAUUUGAAAUCUGGCCCUUUCAGGGCCCGAGUUGUAAUUUGCAGAGGGUGCUUUGGCGUCGGCCGUGGUCUAAGUUCCUUGGAACAGGACGUCACAGAGGGUGAGAAUCCCGUACGUGGCCGCCGGUCUUCGCCGUGUAAAGCCCCUUCGAC